rnacentral:lncRNA from 1 species
AAGAGGGAGCCGUCUCCAUGAGAGGACCUGGCUGAUGACUUGUGCACGGUGCCAUGUGUCAACCCUUCCUGAGACCCUGAGAAGGAGCCCCUGGCGCUGUUCUGGAAUCUCCCUGUGGCUCUAAUGAUUAGAUGCAGUUUUCCCCCUGGUUUAGCAUUUCCCUGAUGCUUUGGAUUUUGUAUGGCAGCAAUGCUGGUCAACAUGCCUGCGGAGCUAAUACCUGGGGCUUCCAGUGCUCCCCGGACUGCCUGGGCUCAAAUCCCACAGCCAUCACUCACUGGCUGGGAGACCUGGACCAACUGCGUCCACUCCCUGGGCCUGUGGCCCUCAUCUGUGGACUGGGGGUACUGUGAAGAUUAAGUGUUAAGACACUAAAGAACCCUGGGAGGGUGGGACAUGCGUAAGCACUGGCUCAGCCUCCCACUGUCGUGCCGCUUCUGCCAGACCAGUGCGCCUGCAGAUCUAACCCAGAGGCAUCAGGAGCAGAUGCAGGGGCCACAGGGCAGCAGCCACGAUGAACCACCAUCUCUUUCCACCGCUUCGUGCCUCGGGCCCCU